rnacentral:rRNA from 1 species
UUAUGUGAUCGUCUCUCGCAUAUCAAUAAGCGGAGGAAAAGAAACUAACAAGGAUUCCCCUAGUAACGGCGAGUGAAGCGGGAAGAGCUCAAAUUUGAAAUCUUAAAGGGUUUCCCUUUACGAAUUGUAGUUUAAAGAAGUGUUUUCUGUUGAGGUUUUGGUAAAAGUUCUUUGGAAUAGGACAUCAUAGAGGGUGAGAAUCCCGUAUUUGACCUUUACUUUCAACUUUGUGAUACACUUUCAAAGAGUCGGAUUGUUUGGGAAUGCAGUCCAAAAUGGGUGGUAAAUUUCAUCUAAAGCUAAAUAUUGGCGAGAGACCGAUAGCGAACAAGUACCGUGAGGGAAAGAUGAAAAGAACUUUGAAAAGAGAGUUAAACAGUACGUGAAAUUGUCAAAAGGGAAGCGUUUGACACCAGUGUUGUUUUUCUGAAAAUCAAUUAAAGAACUGUUUAUGCUAAGUUGUUUAGACUUUAUCAGCUAAUCUGCUUAGUUUUGAGCUUUUCUUUAAUGCACUUUUCAGUUAACAAGUCAACAUCAAUUUCUUUUGCUGUAAAAAGCUUGAGGAAGGUGGCUUGAGAUUCGUCUUAAGUGUUUAUAGCCUCUUGCCUAUGCAGUCGGAGAGAUUGAGGUCUGCAGCGUAGAUCCUUCGGGGCUAAAUGCAUUUGUGCUAAGUUAUAACAUUUUAUAGACAACUUGUUGACUAUGAUUUGUCUUGUAGCUUACUCGCUUAUGUUAUUUUACCUACGCUUAGGAUGUUGAGUAGCGACAUACGCAC